rnacentral:rRNA from 1 species
UAGGGAAUAUUGCACAAUGGCGAAAGCCUGAUGCAGCAACGCCGCGUGCGCGAUGAAGGCCUUCGGGUCGUAAAGCGCUUUUUGGGGAGAUGAGGAAGGACAGUAUCUCCAGAAUAAGGCUCGGCUAACUACGUGCCAGCAGCCGCGGUAAAACGUAGGAGCCAAGCGUUAUCCGAAUUCACUGGGCGUAAAGCGCGUGCAGGCGGUCUGAUAAGUUGGAUGUGAAAUCUCCCGGCUCAACUGGGAGAGGCCGUACAAUACUGUUGGACUAGAGGGCGACAGAGGAAGGUGGAAUUCCCGGUGUAGUGGUGAAAUGCGUAGAUAUCGUGAGGAACACCAGUGGCGAAGGCGACCUUCUGGGUCGCACCUGACGCUAAGACGCGAAAGCUAGGGUAGCAAACGG